rnacentral:rRNA from 1 species
GACGAAGGGGGCUAGCGUUGUUCGGAAUUACUGGGCGUAAAGCGCGUGUAGGCGGUUGUUCAAGUCAGGUGUGAAAGCCUUGAGCUCAACUCAAGAAAUGCACUUGAUACUGGAUGACUAGAGGACCGGAGAGGAUAGUGGAAUUCCCAGUGUAGUGGUGAAAUACGUAGAGAUUGGGAAGAACACCAGUGGCGAAGGCGGCUAUCUGGACGGUUUCUGACGCUAAGGCGCGAAAGCGUGGGGAGCAAACAGG